rnacentral:rRNA from 1 species
CGGGGGGAGCAAGCGUUGUUCGGAUUUACUGGGCGUAAAGGGCGCGUAGGCGGCCACCGCAAGUCGACUGUGAAAUCUCCGGGCUUAACCCGGAAAGGUCAGCCGAUACUGCGGGGCUAGAGUGCAGAAGGGGCAACUGGAAUUCUCGGUGUAGCGGUGAAAUGCGUAGAUAUCGAGAGGAACACCUGCGGCGAAGGCGGGUUGCUGGGCUGACACUGACGCUGAGGCGCGAAAGCUAGGGGAGCGAACGGGAUUAGAUACCCCGGUAGUCCUAGCCUUAAACGAUGAAUGCUUGGUGUCUGGGGUUUUAUAGUCCCCGGGUGCCGUCGCCAACGCUUUAAGCAUUCCGCCUGGGGAGUACGGUCGCAAGACUG